GAUGAAGAACGUAGCGAAAUGCGAUAAGUAAUGCGAAUUGCAGAAUUCAGUGAAUCAUCGAAUCUUUGAACGCACAUUGCGCCCGCCAGUAUUCUGGCGGGCAUGCCUGUUCGAGCGUCAUUUCAACCAUCAAGCCCCAGGCUUGUGUUGGGGACCUGCGGCUGCCGCAGGCCCUGAAAACCAGUGGCGGGCUCGCUGUCACACCGGGCGUAGUAGAUUUUAUCUCGCUCAGGGCGUGCUGCGGGUUCCGGCCGUUAAAAAGCCUUUUUUACCCAAGGUUGACCUCGGAUCAGGUAGGAAGACCCGCUGAACUUAAGCAUAUCAAUAAGCGGAGGA
rnacentral:misc_RNA from 1 species